GGGCGAUUAGCUCAGUUGGGAGAGCGCAGCGUUCGCAACGCUGAGGUCGUGGGUUCGAAUCCCAUAUCGUCCACCA
rnacentral:tRNA from 2 species